GGAGUAGGAAGGCGCGCGUCAAGUACCGUUCGGAUGGGAGGUUGCCGGCGGGCGAAGGGGCUUUGCCCCGCGGUGCGCUUUCCGCAACCGCCUG
rnacentral:ncRNA from 1 species